rnacentral:lncRNA from 1 species
AUACAUGUAUGUAUAACAUAUGACACAAUAACAACAGAAUUCUACUGUUUAUUCAUUAAUCUAAAACCCAGUGUUUAACAAAAACAAUAAAAUGAUCAGAAAAUAAUGUAACAUGUUUACAGCACUUUGGAUGGUUUUUACAUAAUCACAGUUUUUACAUUUUACAUAUAAUGAAUACCACAAUGUAUAGGAUUAUAAUGAUUAUAUACUUAGAUCCAAAUAUAUGUGUCACAGACAUCUGUUGGCCUGGUUAAUAUACAAAUAUAUAUAUUAACCAAAUUACCCAUAUUGCACGAGAGAACACGGAAAUCUAUUAUCUUUGUGAGAGUAAAUAGUUUCUUUGAACUUUUAUAACUCACUACAGCUUUUCACCUUUAAUAAAUUUUCAAAGAAUCCUUUUUAUUAUAGUUUAUAUUUUCUCUAUUAUCUGAAUUUUGUAAUGUUGGCAACAAGUACUGAUCAUCAAUAGGGUUAUUAUCUGAACUUUGUGACGUUGGCAACAAGUUCUGAUCAUCGAUAGGGUUAUUAACCAAAUAAUCCCAGAAAGUAUCUAAUAUUUGACUUUUACCCAAUGUUUGAUAACAAUAUUGAAUCUAAGUCCAAUUUUCUAAUUUAAAUAAUGGUUGAAUCCAUGAUUAGUUUUUUUUUUCUUUUUCUGAUUGCUGCUGAGGUCAUCACCAUUAAACCAGUUUAGGCAGCAAAAAGACUGUUACAGGGUUUCACUGAAUUUCUCUAUUAUUUUUUUCUAUUGAUUUUGACCACCCCAUGAUGUAUUUAUAACAGCUAACAUGAUGGUUGAUUUUCAAAACAUCUGGUGUUUUCACAUAAAUCAUAUUAAAGAAAAUUGCUUCCAGUCAAUGUUAAAGAAAACACUUGACCUUUAAGGUGGCACCUAACACUACAGGGAGAUAACUCUGUAAAGUCAGCUAAACGUUUUAAUUAUGUUGUGUUAUUAGAGGGAAUAUUAAGCUUUUCAAUGAUCAAAAUUGGUGUUUGUCAAACUGCUAUAUAACCAAUGUAAUUUUUCUGACAAAACGGUUGGUUCAAAAUUUUUAUAUUUAUAAAGGUCAAAGUAAAUACUUUGUUAAAAUUUUAUGAAAAUUAAACGAGCCAAAUUAAUUUUAGUGAAAGUGCUGGGUACCACCUUAAGUCAUAUGAGUUCAAACAAAAACUAAAUUCCAAUAAUAAAAUAAAUGAAAAUAUGACUCGAAACAAAUUUAAAUUUCGAAUAAAAAGAUAGAUGAUAAAUUUCCCCCAAAAAAUGAAAAUUAAAUUUCAAAUAUUUAUGAUGCUUACCCCCCUUCCCUUUCCCCUAUUCUUUGUCCUCUUUACUUCCAAUUAUUUCAAUCAUGUGCUAAGUAUAAACUGCUCAUUGACUCAAUAUAAUACACUGACUGUCAGACUUUAUAUCAGAAGUAAAAGUUCAGUGAUCAAAAUUCUUUAAUUGAUCAAAAUCAUUUGUUUCUCCUUGUAACUGUUCAGUAAUUAAUGGUACAUGAUUUAUAAAUGCUGGGUGAAAUGCCCUUAUCAUGCAUGGCAUGUGAAGCUUAGACAUCAUGAGCAGACCUCAACUAUUUUAGAAUGAAACUACCAACACUAAAUUCUACAUAAUAAUAGUACAAAUGUACACAUUACAUCCCUCCACUAAAUUCUAACAAAACAUAAAAAAAGCAUAAUAAAUACAAUGUUAAACUAAAAAUAUAAAUGAGAAAAGUUAACAAUUAAAUAAAUAAAGUAAAUAGUAAAAGAUAUUGCGAACUAAGAUACAUGUAAAAUAUUAAUACUAAUCAAAGCUUUAAGAAUGAAACUGUUGUGUUUUGUGUUUAUUCGCAUUGAGGAAUUGUUUUCAAAACUUCUUUAAUAUAAUUUUAAUGAAGAAAAAAAUGUCUUUGAACUUAUCACUUUGGAUGACAUUUUAUUUAUAUCAGAGACUAUCUUUUUAUUAUGCAUAAAUUAGUAAAAUGAGUGGGAUAAAUAUCCCUGAGACAGCAGCCAAACAAAAGUUAACUAAAAAUCCAGUUAACAAUUAGUUUGUUAUAUUUCAUCAUUUUUCAGCAUACUAGCAUAUACUCAAACUAUUAAUUGUAGUUUGUUAUGCUUUGAUAUCUAUAUCCGAUAAAUAAGCACCAAAAAAAAUUGAACUUUUAAAAAUUUACUUUAAUACUGUUAAACAGAUGUGUCAUGGUGGUUACAAAUUACAAUAGAAGUUUAUCAAUAUUUUGUAUUGACUAUUUAUCUAAUUGCAUUUUUAUUUUCAUUUUUUUUAUAUGUUUUUUUAAUUAUUCGUAUGUCAAUUUAAUAAAGACGAAAAAAGUCAUUUUGAAACUUAAAACCAGAAAGUACUAAAAUGACUGAGCAUUCUGUAACAAGAUAUUUUUCAACUAAAGGCGAAUAGCGAUAACUGAAUUUUGGACUACCGAAGCUAAAUUCAUAAUUGAUUUGAAGAUAUUGAGAUAAUUUGUUUUUCUGAAGAUAAUCUUAAAACACAUCAGUUAUUUCCUUAUGCUUUGUUUAGUCUGGCAAAAUAAUUGCAGUAAAAUAAAUAUAAACUGAACACAAAAAAUAUUGCAAACUUCCUAAACCUUAAUCUCAGCUUUUGAGUUUAACAAUUUAAAUGCGAGUUAAUACACCCUUUGUGCAAUCUAAAUUUAUUUGUAUUAUUUCACUUGAUUUACCAAAUUUAACUCAUGUUAUAUAUAUAUUUAUAGAAUGAUUUUACAAAAUUGGGGUUUGCUAAUUUUUGCUAAUCAUUAAUUAAAAUUGUAUUUUUUUAUUUGUUUUUCUAAGUAUAAGAUAAUUCAAUCUAGAGGACAGUCUUCUUUAAAGAAAGGUUCAACAAAAACUUCAAGCUAUAAUCAAAUAAAGAAAAUUAAAAAAAAAAAAAAAAUUGUUACUAUUUUUGAAUAAAGGUCUGAAACCCAAAGUUACCCAUCUUUUCAAUAUAUUUCCUUUUUAUUUUUUUAUCAAAAUAUAGAGAAUUUCUAUCUUUUUAUUUCCCCUUCAAUUGAGACAGUUUAUAACAUAAAUUCUAAAAAAAUAAAUGGUUAAAUGUAUUGAUUAUAUUAUAUAAGAUUACAAAAUAAGAUAUCAGCUAAUAAUACAUCAUAUUUGUCAUGUAAUGCGUAACAGAGAACUAUGGAUUCAUUUGUUGUCAUGGAAACUUUGAUUAUGAGGUUUCAACAAAUUUAGUAUAUGACCAAAUGGUGACCUAUAGAGGUUAAUGUCUAUGUUAUUUGGUCUCUUGGGGAGAGUUGUCUUAUUGGCAAUCAUACCACAUCUUCUUAAUUUUGAAAGGCUUAUAUUUUGUUAAACGUUUAAAAUUCAUGGUUUUUGUUUAACUAGUAAUCAAAGGAAAAAAGUCCCCCAUGAUUAAUAAUGAAUCCACAGUAUUAAGAUUUAAUGGAAUAAAUUUAUAUCACAGUAAGCAUAGUAACUCUAUAACAAUUUUGUG